GCCUCUGAACACUUCUGCUCGAACCUUGUCUCAUGUCGCCUCUCUUCGUUCCCGUCUGUCCAUUUUUGGUUGUUUGGUGAAAUUUGUCGCUAUCUUCGUCGCCUCUAGUUCGUCGUCCAUUUCUUAAAGUUCAAAUAGGCCUGCUUUGUCCCCUUUUUUCUCCCGUCCCGAGCCCUUUGUUUUCUCUAGUUUGCAGUUCGCAUAGCUGCCUCCUUUGGAUCUAAGCCUCACGGACUGCUGCAUGUUGCUACCCCCGUCGCUUCCAUUCCCCUGCAAGCCCACGCUCUGCUAUGGAUUUCCCACCUAAAGUUGUUUGUCCAUUCAUGACCCAUGUUCAUGUGCAAUAGCUACAACUUUCAAGGUAUUUGAGAGAUUGCUCAAAAAGUUUGCCAGAUCUAAAGCAUCAGUUGAACGGUCAUAAUGGUGAAUCAACAAGGAACUCGGCGGGGCAUCUCUAAAAGGUUCAGCUUGGUUGUAAUCUAUAAACUGGAGGAAUGUAGAUACCAAUGACGUCUUACUCCAUCAGAAGCUACUAGCUCCUAAUGAAGAACCAAAUUUCUGAAAAAAUACGGACUACAACAUUAUCCGCCAUUUUAGUAAUUUAUGAAACUAUAAACACUGUUUUUGUGACAUGUAAAUGAUAUUAUCU
rnacentral:lncRNA from 7 species